rnacentral:rRNA from 1 species
GAUGAACGCUGGCGGCGUGCCUAAUACAUGCCAGUCGAGCGAACAGACGAGGAGCUUGCUCCUCUGACGUUAGCGGCGGACGGGUGAGUAACACGUGGAUAACCUACCUAUAAGACUGGGAUAACUUCGGGAAACCGGAGCUAAUACCGGAUAAUAUAUUGAACCGCAUGGCUCAAUAGUGAAAGACGGUUUUGCUGUCACUUAUAGAUGGAUCCGCGCCGCAUUAGCUAGUUGGUAAGGUAACGGCUUACCAAGGCAACGAUGCGUAGCCGACCUGAGAGGGUGAUCGGCCACACUGGAACUGAGACACGGUCCAGACUCCUACGGGAGGCAGCAGUAGGGAAUCUUCCGCAAUGGGCGAAAGCUUGACGGAGCAACGCCGCGUGAGUGAUGAAGGUCUUCGGAUCGUAAAACUCUGUUAUUAGGGAAGAACAAAUGUGUAAGUAACUAUGCACGUCUUGACGGUACCUAAUCAGAAAGCCACGGCUAACUACGUG